rnacentral:rRNA from 1 species
AGUGAACGCUGGCGGUAGGCCUAACACAUGCAAGUCGAACGGCAGCACAGUAAGAGCUUGCUCUUACGGGUGGCGAGUGGCGGACGGGUGAGGAAUACAUCGGAAUCUACUUUUUCGUGGGGGAUAACGUAGGGAAACUUACGCUAAUACCGCAUACGACCUACGGGUGAAAGCAGGGGAUCUUCGGACCUUGCGCGAUUGAAUGAGCCGAUGUGGGAUUAGCUAGUUGGCGGGUUAAAGGCCCACCAAGGCGCCGAUCCGUAGCUGGUCUGAGAGGAGGAUCGGCCACACUGGAACUGGGACACGGUCCAGACUCCUAAGGGAGGCAGCAGUGGGGAAUAUUGGACAAUGGGCGCAAGCCUGAUCCAGCCAUACCGCGUGGGUGAAGAAGGCCUUCGGGUUGUAAAGACCUUUUGUUGGGAAAGAAAAGCGGCAGGUUAAUACCCCGCUGUUCUGACGGUACCCAAAGAAUAAGCACCGGCUAACUUCGUG